rnacentral:siRNA from 1 species
GAAACGUAACAAGGACGUGGUUGG